rnacentral:tRNA from 1 species
AGGAAUAUAGCUCAGUGGUAGAGCGCAUGCUUAGCUAGCCUGAGGCUCUGGGUUCAAUUCCCAGUACCUCUA